rnacentral:rRNA from 1 species
UACGAAGGGGGCGAGCGUUGUUCGGAAUUACUGGGCGUAAAGGGCGCGCAGGCGGCUCUGAAAGUCAGAUGUGAAAGCCCCGGGCUUAACCUGGGAAUUGCAUUUGAUACUCUGGAGCUUGAGUGUGGGAGAGGAGAGUGGAAUUCCCAGUGUAGAGGUGAAAUUCGUAGAUAUUGGGAAGAACACCGGUGGCGAAGGCGGCAUCCUGGACCAACACUGACACUGAGGAGCGAAAGCCAGGGGAGCAAACGGG